GCCGGGUGUGGUGGCUCACGCCUGUAAUCCCAACACUUUGGGAGGCCGAGGUGGGUGGAUCACCUGAGGUCGGGAGUUCGAGACCAGCCUGACCAACAUGGAGAAACCCCAUCUCUA
ensembl:misc_RNA Metazoa_SRP Metazoan signal recognition particle RNA